rnacentral:rRNA from 1 species
GAGCCGACCUUGAAAUACCACCCGUUUAAUGUUUGAUGUUCUAACGUGGACCCGUGAUCCGGGUUGCGGACAGUGUCUGGUGGGUAGUUUGACUGGGGCGGUCUCCUCCUAAAGAGUAACGGAGGAGCACGAAGGUUGGCUAAUCCUGGUCGGACAUCAGGAGGUUAGUGCAAUGGCAUAAGCCAGCUUGACUGCGAGCGUGACGGCGCGAGCAGGUGCGAAAGCAGGUCAUAGUGAUCCGGUGGUUCUGAAUGGAAGGGCCAUCGCUCAACGGAUAAAAGGUACUCCGGGGAUAACAGGCUGAUACCGCCCAAGAGUUCAUAUCGACGGCGGUGUUUGGCACCUCGAUGUCGGCUCAUCACAUCCUGGGGCUGAAGUAGGUCCCAAGGGUAUGGCUGUUCGCCAUUUAAAGUGGUACGCGAGCUGGGUUUAGAACGUCGUGAGACAGUUCGGUCCCUAUCUGCCGUGGGCGCUGGAGAACUGAGGGGGGCUGCUCCUAGUACGAGAGGACCGGAGUGGACGCAUCACUGGUGUUCGGGUUGUCAUGCCAAUGGCACUGCCCGGUAGCUAAAUGCGGAAGAGAUAAGUGCUGAAAGCAUCUAAGCACGAAACUUGCCCCGAGAUGAGUUCUCCCUGAGACUUUAGAGUCUCCUGAAGGAACGUUGAAGACGACGACGUUGAUAGGCCGGGUGUGUAAGCGCAGCGAUGCGUUGAGCUAACCGGUACUAAUGAACCGUGAGGCUUAACCUUACAACGCCGAAG